GGAAAAGAGGCAUUCCAUGCACAAUGGCUGCUACUGAAAACCCUGCUUUCCCCAUUUGGCCAGAAGAUCAUUUUUCCUGGCUCCAAGAAAAAAGAAAUUAAUAUGGAAUCCCAUUCCCUCUUUAUCUGGCAGAGACAGUUCCAGUUACUCCUCAUUCAUUCCACUUUUCAGUAUCACAAGCUCUUCUUCGAAAUUCCACACAUAAAAUGCCAUUUGACAUUGCAAAGACCUGGGAAUUCUGCAGCAGAUCUUUCCUUUGAUCGUCUAAAUUGACAAAUAAUGAGUAACAGGUUCUUUCAGUGAUAGA